rfam:Gorilla gorilla gorilla genomic chromosome, chr5, whole genome shotgun sequence
GCUGGGCAUGAUGGCUUAUGCCUAUAGUCCCAGCUACUUGGGAGGCUGAGGUGGGAGGAUCCCUUGAGCCCAGGAGUUCAAGGCUGCAGUGAGCUAUGAUCUCACCACUGCACUCCAACCUGGGCAACAGAGCAAGACCCCAUCUCUA